GUGAAAUACAUGUCUAUUUAAUUGUCAAAAAAGGCCAAUAUUUAUUUUACAAAAGUAUUCUUUUUUCAAUUGAUAGAUAAAAUUUUACAUUAUAAUAAAAUUAAGAAUAGAAUUGGGGAAUGUCUCAAAGAGAGAACAACCCGACUAAAUAGCAAAAAACAGCAGAAGGCCAAAAAUGGGUUUUCAAUACAGCGAGAACAUUUGACACCCGGAGACGUACAUCAGCAGCUGACCCCUAAAAAUCUAGUUCAGUGAUAAUGCAGUCAUACUAGCACCUUAUUAUAAACAAUAAUUAACAAAGUUGCUUCAUUUUGUAUGAUUAAAAUUAUUCUCAUACAUGUUCUUUCAAUUUCAGAGUGUGGAAAAGCUGAUAAAGAAAAAGAAAAAAAAGAAAAAAAUAUUAAAAAUUGAUAAAAUAGUUUAGUAUGUUUGUGUGUUAAUGUUUUUAAUUGUGAUUUUUAUAAAGUGUGUAAACGAUAAGACUUUGCUGCAUACAUACAGCGAGUAAAUUGUUCCUCUGGACGAGCUCAACAUUUUAUGCAAUAAGCCUAAACAUGUCCGACCGUCUGUUAAAGUUACAACGGGAUGAUUC
rnacentral:lncRNA from 1 species